rnacentral:rRNA from 1 species
AUACGUAGGGGGCGAGCGUUGUCCGGAAUGAUUGGGCGUAAAGGGCGCGUAGGCGGCCCGGUAAGUCUGGAGUGAAAGUCCUGUUUUUAAGAUGGGAAUUGCUUUGGAUACUGUCGGGCUUGAGUGCAGGAGAGGUAAGUGGAAUUCCCAGUGUAGCGGUGAAUGCGUAGAGAUUGGGAGGAACACCAGUGGAGAAGGCGACUUACUGGACUGUAACUGACGCUGAGGCGCGAAAGUGUGGGGAGCAAACAGGAUUAGAUACCCUGGUAGUCCACACUGUAAACGAUGAAUGCUAGGUGUAGGGGGUAUCGACCCCUUCUGUGCCGCAGUCAACACAAUAAGCAUUCCGCCUGGGGAGUACGGCCGCAAGGUUGAAACUCAAAGGAAUUGACGGGG